AUUGAACGCUGGCGGCAUGCCUUACACAUGCAAGUCGAACGGCAGCACGGGUGCUCGCACCUGGUGGCGAGUGGCGAACGGGUGAGUAAUACAUCGGAACGUACCUUAUCGUGGGGGAUAACGCAGCGAAAGCUGUGCUAAUACCGCAUACGCACUGAGGGGGAAAGCGGGGGAUCGCAAGACCUCGCGCGAUUAGAGCGGCCGAUGCCUGAUUAGCUAGUUGGUGGGGUAAAAGCCCACCAAGGCGACGAUCAGUAGCUGGUCUGAGAGGACGAUCAGCCACACUGGGACUGAGACACGGCCCAGACUCCUACGGGAGGCAGCAGUGGGGAAUUUUGGACAAUGGGGGCAACCCUGAUCCAGCAAUGCCGCGUGAGUGAAGAAGGCCUUCGGGUUGUAAAGCUCUUUUGUCAGGGAAGAAACACCGGCUCUAACACAGUCCGGGAAUGACGGUACCUGAAGAAUAAGCACCGGCUAACUACGUGCCAGCAGCCGCCGCUG
rnacentral:rRNA from 1 species